AAGCGGGUAGUCCGGGCUCGGCCUCCAGCUGGCGCGCCUCGGGCUCGCGCGCCGCUGACUUGCCAGGCUCAGUUCAGCUCGUGCCCUGGAGCGCGAUCCUCGGCUGCAAUCCGCGUCCCUUGAUCCAGGAAAUAAUUUUAGGGCGACUUCAGAGCUUGUUUUGUCUUGGUAGUGGUGUGUGAAGGGGUGGAGUCUGCCGCCUGCCAAAACAUUUGCUACCUUGUUCACUUUGCAAAACUGGCAACCCAAGUUUCUUUAUCAAGGCCCAGGUUAGGGAGCUGCAACCCCCACGUUGAAACUGUAGGCGGCCUUAUCCAGCGUGCCACUGCAUACUAGUCGUGCACUCUAGGCCUCCAGUCCAACGGGACGGUUCCUGGGUAGCGCCCACCACCUACCAGGUCCACUGGGAUCAGAGGGUGAGCAAAUAUCCGACCCCUACUCCGUUGGAGUUUGUGAUCUGGGAGCCAGUUACCAACGGGAUGAUGGGCUGGUUCCAUUCUGCACAGGGAAAUUCCUAAAGAAUCAGUGAUAAUGCUUUCUGUGAAUGACUAUUGAUGGAGUGAACAGAGUGUGAACAUCAAGUUCCAGCAGGCACUGCAAGAAUGAGGGCCCUUUACAGAACCAGUACUAUGCAUAUUUCAACAGAGGAAAAGGAGACAUGGAGAUUGCAAAUAAAUUCCUUCAAGAAGUC
rnacentral:lncRNA from 1 species